rnacentral:rRNA from 1 species
GAUGAACGCUGACAGAAUGCUUAACACAUGCAAGUCAACUUGAAUUUGGGUUUUUAACUUAGGUUUGGGUGGCGGACGGGUGAGUAACGCGUAAAGAACUUGCCUCACAGCUAGGGACAACAUUUGGAAACGAAUGCUAAUACCUAAUAUUAUGAUAAUAGGGCAUCCUAUAAUUAUGAAAGCUAUAAGCGCUGUGAGAGAGCUUUGCGUCCCAUUAGCUAGUUGGAGAGGUAACGGCUCACCAAGGCGAUGAUGGGUAGCCGGCCUGAGAGGGUGAUCGGCCACAAGGGGACUGAGACACGGCCCUUACUCCUACGGGAGGCAGCAGUGGGGACUAUUGGACAAUGGACCGAGAGUCUGAUCCAGCACUUCUGUGUGCACGAUGAAGUUUUUCGGAAUGUAAAGUGCUUUCAGUUGGGAAGAAACAAAUGACGGUACCAACAGAAGAAGUGACGGCUAAAUACGUG